rnacentral:rRNA from 1 species
GAGUUUGAUCUUGGCUCAGAACGAACGCUGGCGGCAUGCCUAACACAUGCAAGUCGAACGGGAUCCAGGCUUCGGCCUGGUGAGAGUGGCGGACGGGUGAGUAACGCGUGGGAACCUGCCCAAUGGUCUGGGAUAACCGCGGGAAACUGCGGCUAAUACCGGAUAAGCCCGAGAGGGGAAAGAUUUAUCGCCGAUGGAGGGGCCCGCGUCCGAUUAGGUAGUUGGUGAGGUAACGGCUCACCAAGCCGACGAUCGGUAGCUGGCCUGAGAGGAUGAUCAGCCACACUGGGACUGAGACACGGCCCAGACUCCUACGGGAGGCAGCAGUGGGGAAUCUUGCGCAAUGGGCGAAAGCCUGACGCAGCCAUGCCGCGUGAAUGAUGAAGGUCUUAGGAUUGUAAAAUUCUUUCACCGGGGACGAUAAUGACGGUACCCGGAGAAGAAGCUCCGGCU